CAUUGCUUAACCAAAUUGAGCCACUUAACAAUCAUAUUAUUAAUUAAUUAUUUCUCUAAUUUAUCAAUCAUUAGUAAAUUAUUUAUUGCAAUCUUUGCAUAGGAUUAAUCAUCAAUCAAAUUGAUAAUUAAAUCCUUCAAUGAUUCAUAAUCAUCAAUCAGCUAUUUGAUCAGACAGGUACUUCUAUGUAUGUGACUCCAUAGGUUCAAAUCUAAAUUGAUAGUAUA
rnacentral:lncRNA from 1 species